GAUGAACGCUGGCGGCGUGCCUAAUACAUGCAAGUCGAGCGAACAGAUGAGGAGCUUGCUCCUCUGACGUUAGCGGCGGACGGGUGAGUAACACGUGGAUAACCUACCUAUAAGACUGGGAUAACUUCGGGAAACCGGAGCUAAUACCGGAUAAUAUAUUGAACCGCAUGGUUCAAUAGUGAAAGACGGUUUUGCUGUCACUUAUAGAUGGAUCCGCGCCGCAUUAGCUAGUUGGUAAGGUAACGGCUUACCAAGGCAACGAUGCGUAGCCGACCUGAGAGGGUGAUCGGCCCCACUGGAACUGAGACACGGUCCAGACUCCUACGGGAGGCAGCAGUAGGGAAUCUUCCGCAAUGGGCGAAAGCCUGACGGAGCCACGCCGCGUGAGUGAUGAAGGUCUUCGGAUCGUAAAACUCUGUUAUUAGGGAAGAACAAAUGUGUAAGUAACUAUGCACGUCUUGACGGUACCUAAUCAGAAAGCCACGGCUAACUACGUG
rnacentral:rRNA from 1 species